UCAGAGGAAAUAGCUACACGUGUUCUUU
rnacentral:piRNA from 1 species